CCUGCCCACUGACUAUAAGUUUAACGGCCGCGGUAUUUUGACCGUGCAAAGGUAGCGUAAUCAUUUGUCUUUUAAUUAAAGACCUGUAUGAAUGGCCAAACGAGGGCUUAACUGUCUCCCCCUUCAAGUCAGUGAAAUUGAUUUAUCCGUGCAGAAGCGGGUAUAAAUAUACAAGACGAGAAGACCCUUUGGAGCUUAAGGUACAAAACUCAACUAUGUUAAACGACUAAAUAAUAAGCAAGAACCUUAUAGAAAUGAAAUUUUACCUUCGGUUGGGGCGACCACGGAGAAAAAUUAAUCCUCCACAGCGGAUUGGGAAAUAUCCUAAAACCAAGAGAAACAUCUCUAAGCCACAGAACAUCUGACCUAAUAUGAUCCGGCUACAAAACCGAUUAACGAACUAAGUUACCCUAGGGAUAACAGCGCAAUCCUCUCCCAGAGUCCAUAUCGACGAGGGGGUUUACGACCUCGAUGUUGGAUCAGGACAUCCUAAUGGUGCAGCCGCUAUUAAGGGUUCG
rnacentral:rRNA from 1 species